rnacentral:rRNA from 1 species
CCUACGGGAGGCAGCAGUGGGGAAUAUUGGACAAUGGGCGAAAGCCUGAUCCAGCCAUGCCGCGUGUGUGAAGAAGGCCUUCGGGUUGUAAAGCACUUUCAGUGGGGAAGAAAGCCUUGGGGCUAAUACCCUCGAGGAAGGACAUCACCCACAGAAGAAGCACCGGCUAACUCCGUGCCAGCAGCCGCGGUAAUACGGAGGGUGCGAGCGUUAAUCGGAAUUACUGGGCGUAAAGCGCGCGUAGGCGGUCUGAUAAGCCGGUUGUGAAAGCCCCGGGCUCAACCUGGGAACGGCAUCCGGAACUGGCAGGCUAGAGGGCAGGAGAGGAAGGUAGAAUUCCCGGUGUAGCGGUGAAAUGCGUAGAGAUCGGGAGGAAUACCAGUGGCGAAGGCGGCCUUCUGGACUGACACUGACGCUGAGGUGCGAAAGCGUGGGUAGCAAACAGGAUUAGAUACCCUAGUAGUC